GGGCGAGUGGCGAAACCGGCAGACGCGCACGGUUCAGGGCCGUGUGGGAGCAAUCCCGUGGAGGUUCAAAUCCUCUCUCGCCCACAA
rnacentral:tRNA from 2 species